UUCUUGCAUUGUCAUCAAAGCAGGAGCCAUACAAUAGUGAAGCCAUUGCAUUUGAGGAAGCCCACUGGAUUGCCUCUACCUGUUCACUCAGUUCUUUAUCAAAUGAUAGUUUGUCCAUGGAGUCUUUUGAUCGAGAGUGCUGAGCAGACUUGUAUCGCUCUACUUCACGGCGAUAGUCAUUAACACCAUCCUGAUUCCAAGUAUUGUUAGCAUCAUCACUCCAGGUAAGCAAAAGAUCAAAGAGUCGCCUCCUAGUUCUAAUAUCAAAUUUCUCAGAUCUAGAAUCAACUAAGUCAGGAGCCAAGGAUCUCAAUACAGAAGCAAGUGCAUAACGGAGGGGUUGCACAUCUUGAAAACUCUCUGCAGAUGCUGUUAAUAUUUGUCUGGUUGUAUCUUCAAUGAAUUUUAAAUAAUGAAGGCGGAAAGCUGGUUUUCUACCAAGCAUUCCAGGCCAGAUAUUCUCAGCAACUGUACGGUAUAUAUUCGCAAUGUGGAUACGAAGUUCUUCUCGACGGGACCUUUGGCUCUUCCAUUUUGGUUUCCCUUCUGUCUCCAGAGAGACUUCGUCGACGAAAGACGCAAGCUCAUUAAACAUGACUUCACAUAUUUCAUGAUGGGCGUGGCCAAGAGCCAUUGUAGCUGCAUGUAUAUUUGGUUCGGAACCAGACUUUAAGGAUGGGAAGAUUAGGUGAAAAAGUUCUUUUGUAGCAGCUGAACCACCACUGUCUU
rnacentral:misc_RNA from 1 species